rnacentral:rRNA from 1 species
UACGUAGGGUGCAAGCAUUAAUCGGAUUUAUUGGGCGUAAAGGGCGCGUAGGCGGGAAAGUCAGUCAGAUGUGAAAUCCCGGAGCUCAACUCCGGAACAGCAUUUGAAACUUCUUUUCUAGAGGGUAGGCGGAGAAAACGGAAUUCCACAAGUAGCGGUGAAAUGCGUAGAUAUGUGGAAGAACACCAGUGGCGAAGGCGGUUUUCUAGCUUACACCUGACGCUGAGGCGCGAAAGCAAGGGGAGCAAACAGG